UUUGCACCCAAACCCAAGAAACGCAGUUUCUCAGAACAGUGGUUUAAAAGGAAGUGUGAACAGCAAACAAAUCUCAUCACCUUUGGGGAGCUGUGCCAUGCACCUCAGAAUGAAUGUGGAGGUUCUACACCC